rnacentral:misc_RNA from 1 species
AGAAAUUAACUUACAAAUACUUCAAAUUAUAGCUUAAAGAAUCAAUUUGUUAACAGUAAGAAAAAGCACAUCAGGAAAUUGGGAAAUUUACAACUUAUACAGGAGUACAACUUGCAAUGAACAGUUUUAAUCAGGUGUAAAUCUUAAUAUAUCUUCCUUUAUAUGUGUGAUGUACACACAUCAGUCUCCAGUCAUACACACACUUUCGGG